UUGAGCACAAGCUUAUUUUUCAGAUCUGCUUUUUCUUGCGUGAUUUACGGCAGAGAGUUGACUAUUUUCUUGUGAACUCUGAGAAUGAACUCUUUAGGAGAAAUUCGAUCUUUCCCACCUUUUCUUGCAUGUCCUCUAGGAAAUGAUUGAAACCGGCAAAUAGCCAUUGAGGAUCAAGCAUCUAGGCUUUAAAUUUACCUCAGCUUCAUCUACUCUAGACAAUGUCAACCUAUCUCUUUGGGAAGUCACAAGGAUCCUGCAAGGCUCUGAAGCACAAAAAUGCAGAAACCAAAUGUGACCAAUAUAAGGGCUUAAUGAGUGCUGAAGAAGGCAAGACUAAUUCCUAGUCAUACUCCCACCAUUACAGCCUGUUUCCAGCAUUUCAAAAACAAUUCCACACUAUUUACUCAUAUUCAAAUUAACUAUUAACCCAGGUUUUUUUUUUUUUUAAUAUUGUGCUCCAGGUAUCUCAUGAAUUGCAAAACAUUCCUUAAUUGAUACAGUGUUUGGGCAGUAUUUAUACCUACCCUGACUUUCUCCUGAUUAUGUUUGUUUGGACUUAUUAGUCCUAAGGCAUAUUGCAUUGUUUCCCCCUAUUCUGCUUUUUCCUGGCAUUGAUAAAUUUGUUCUUUCAGUUUCAAGGCCACCCUAAAAUGUAUUCCAUAUUCCCUGAUGUUUGUGACUGCUCAGCUUUUUGUCUUCAUGAUUCUAAAGAGAACAUUUUCAAAUCCAUCAUUGGUCAAUGAUGGCUAUUAAAAUAGUGCUAAGCUCAAGGCUGACUGAUGUCCACUAUCACUUCAGGUGUUCCCUCUCAGUUUCUCAGAUUGGUGAUAAGUUAUUUAGAAGCCACCCUUUCAACAGUGCCAAAAGUUGCAAAUGGUAUGCUGCUGUUUCUUGAAA
rnacentral:lncRNA from 1 species